rnacentral:rRNA from 1 species
GACGAACGCUGGCGGCGUGCUUAACACAUGCAAGUCGAACGGAAAGGCCCUGCUUUUGUGGGGUGCUCGAGUGGCGAAAGGGUGAGUAACACGUGAGUAACCUGCCCUUGACUUUGGGAUAACUUCAGGAAACUGGGGCGAAUACCGGAUAGGAGCUCCUGCUGCAUGGGGGGGGUUGGAAAGUUUCGGCGGUUGGGGAUGGACGCGCGGUUUAUCAGCGUGUUGGUGGGGUAGUGGCUUACCAGGGCUUUGACGGGUAGCCGGCCUGAGAGGGUGACCGGCCACAUUGGGACUGAGAUGCGGCCCAGACUCCUACGGGAGGCAGCAGUGGGGAAUAUUGCACAAUGGGCGGAAUCCUGAUGCAGCAACGCCGGGUGCGGGAUGACGGCCUUCGGGUUGUAAACCGCUUUCGCCUGUGACGAAGCGUGAGUGACGGUAAUGGGUAAAGAAGCACCGGCUAACUACGUG